AUGUGUAUCUGCUGCACGGGUCUGAAAGCUCCCUCUGUGUCUCUGCUCCCUCCGUCUCCUCUGCAACUGUCUGAGAAAUCGUUCUUGCUGCUCUGCCUGCUGUCUGACUACUCUCCACAGGGGGCACUGGUGAGCUGGAUAGUGGAUGGCUCAGAGGUGAAGGACGGGGUUCUGACCAGUGCAGAAGAAGAGAAGAAUGGUCGUUACAGCCGCAGCAGCACCCUGACCCUCAGCAAAGACCUCUGGGAGAAAGGGGAGGAGUUUAUCUGUAUGGUCUCUCAUAGCAACGUCGUUCAUCCAGUGAUGUUCAGAAAGAAGGCUCCGACUGUGUCUCUGCUCUUUCAGUCCCCCCUGCAGUCGUGUGAGGACUCGCUGCUCUGCCUGCUGUCUGACUACUCUCCACAGGGGGCACUGGUGAGCUGGAUAGUGGACGGCUCAGAGGUGAAGGACGGGGUUCUGACCAGUGCAGAAGAAGAGAAGAACGGCUGUUACAGCCGCAGCAGCAUCCUGACCCUCAGCAAAGACCUCUGGGAGAAAGGGGAGGAGUUUAUCUGUAAGGUCUCCCAUAGCAACGUCAUUCAUCCAGUCACAUUCAGAAAGAGUCAGUGUUAAGACUAGAGGAUUCAAGAUAGAGUUUAACAUCGAGCUGCUUCUGAUCUACACACUGCUGAUGUUUCUGUAUUUCCUCUCGUCACUGUGCUGUUGCUCUUCCUGUAGUUUCUGCUGAAAUAAAGCUGAGUUUUGGA